GUAGGGUGCGAGCGUUAAUCGGAAUUACUGGGCGUAAAGCGUGCGCAGGCGGUUUUGUAAGCCAGAUGUGAAAUCCCCGGGCUUAACCUGGGAAUGGCAUUUGGGACUGCAAGGCUGGAGUGCGGCAGAGGAGACUGGAAUUCCUGGUGUAGCAGUGAAAUGCGUAGAUAUCAGGAGGAAUACCGAUGGCGAAGGCAGGUCUCUGGGCUGACACUGACGCUCAUGCACGAAAGCGUGGGGAGCAAACAGGAUUAGAUACCCUGGUAGUCCACGCCCUAAACGAUGUCGACUGGUUGUUGGGGGUUUGACACUCUCAGUAACGAAGCUAACGCGUGAAGUCGACCGCCUGGGGAGUACGGCCGCAAGGUUAAA
rnacentral:rRNA from 1 species